rnacentral:rRNA from 1 species
UACGGGGGGGGCAAGCGUUGUUCGGAAUCACUGGGCGUAAAGGGUGCGUAGGCGGGUCUUUAAGUCAGGGGUGAAAUCCUGGAGCUCAACUCCAGAACUGCCUUUGAUACUGAGGAUCUUGAGCUCGGGAGAGGUGAGUGGAACUGCGAGUGUAGAGGUGAAAUUCGUAGAUAUUCGCAAGAACACCAGUGGCGAAGGCGGCUCACUGGCCCGAUACUGACGCUGAGGCACGAAAGCGUGGGGAGCAAACAGG